rnacentral:rRNA from 1 species
GACGAACGCUGGCGGCGUGCCUAAUACAUGCAAGUUGAGCGCUGAAGGUUGGUACUUGUACCAACUGGAUGAGCAGCAAACGGGUGAGUAACGCGUGGGGAAUCUGCCUUAGAGCGGGGGACAACAUUUGGAAACGAAUGCUAAUACCGCAUAAAAACUUUAAACACAAGUUUUAAGUUUGAAAGAUGCAAUUGCAUCACUCAAAGAUGAUCCCGCGUUGUAUUAGCUAGUUGGUGAGGUAAAGGCUCACCAAGGCGAUGAUACAUAGCCGACCUGAGAGGGUGAUCGGCCACAUUGGGACUGAGACACGGCCCAAACUCCUACGGGAGGCAGCAGUAGGGAAUCUUCGGCAAUGGACGAAAGUCUGACCGAGCAACGCCGCGUGAGUGAAGAAGGUUUUCGGAUCGUAAAACUCUGUUGGUAGAGAAGAACGUUGGUGAGAGUGGAAAGCUCAUCAAGUGACGGUAACUACCCAGAAAGGGACGGCUAACUACGUG